AUGAAAAGGCCCAAGCUUGGGGAAGAUAUGUUUGAUGAGGAUGAAAUAUUUGAGAAUAUAUUUGCUGAAAUUAAUGAUUGUCCCAAGCUUGGGGAUGAUAUGUUUAAUGAAGAUGAUAUUCUUAGCCUCCCAAGUUUUGAUAUGCGAAGUUGUUAUGAGGAUAGCAUGCCUCCUACUUAUGAUGAUUAUAUUGAUGAAAGUGGGUUUGGAAGAGUGUCAACUUUAGGAAGUAGUGAUCCCACUAUUUUGGAGGAUGUUGAAUCAUAUUGUGAUGAAUAUGAAAGUGGAUUUGGAAGAGUGUCAAGUUUAUUUAGUGAUUCCACUAUCUUGGGAGAGGUUUCGAUCGAUUAUGAUGAGAACGAAGUUGCAACUUAUGAUGAUUAUUGUGAUGAAACUUAUGCUAUAAAAAGUAGUGAUGAUUAUAUUUAUAAAACUUGUCAUGAUUAUGAUUACCCUUUUUCUGAACAUUACUCUUUUAAUGUGGAAACAAUUUUUAGUGUUCAAGUCUCUUAUGAUACUCCCACCAUUCCGAAUGAGAAGAAUUUUGCUUAUGUGGAGAGUAGUAAAUUUUCUAUGCUUGUAGAUCAUGAAAAGAAUGCUUUAGGUGCUGGUUAUAUUGUUGAAUUCAUUCAUGAUGCUACUGAAAAUUAUUGUGAGGGAGGAACAUAUGCUUGUAGGAAUUGCAAUAAUGCCAAGUUUCCUCUCUAUGUGCUUAAAGUUUUGAAGUUAUGCUUGUUUUGCCUUCCUAUGCUAGUUGAUUGUUGUUCCUAUAAGUUGUUUGAUCACAAAAUCCCUAUGCAUAGGAAUUGGGUUAGACUUAAAUGUUCUAUUCAUAUUCUUCAUGAUGCUCUCUUUAUGUUUCAAUUCUUAUCUUUUAUGUGA
rnacentral:rRNA from 1 species